GACGAACGCUGGCGGCGUGCUUAACACAUGCAAGUCGAGCGGUAAGGCCCUUUCGGGGGUACGACGAGCGGCGAACGGGUGAGUAACACGUGGGUGACCUGCCCUCAGCUCUGGGAUAAGCCUGGGAAACCGGGUCUAAUACUGGAUAUGACUCCAUGACGCAUGUUGUGGGGUGGAAAGCCUUGUGCGGCUGAGGAUGGGCCCGCGGCCUAUCAGCUUGUUGGUGGGGUGAUGGCCUACCAAGGCGACGACGGGUAGCCGGCCUGAGAGGGCGACCGGCCACACUGGGACUGAGACACGGCCCAGACUCCUACGGGAGGCAGCAGUGGGGAAUCUUGCGCAAUGGGCGAAAGCCUGACGCAGCGACGCCGCGUGAGGGAUGACGGCCUGGUGU
rnacentral:rRNA from 1 species